rnacentral:tRNA from 3 species
CUGGGUGUGGCGCAGUUGGUAGCGCGCUACCUUGGGGUGGUAGAGGCCGCUGGUUCAAGUCCAGUCACUCAGACCA